CAUCGGUGACAGGUGGUGCAUGGUUGUCGUCAGCUCGUGUCGUGAGAUGUUGGUUAAGUCCCGCAACGAGCGCAACCCCUAUCGUUAGUUGCCAUCAUUCAGUUGGGCACUCUAGCGAGACUGCCGGUAAUAAACCGGAGGAAGGUGGGGAUGACGUCAAAUCAUCAUGCCCCUUAUGACCUGGGCUACACACGUGCUACAAUGGUUGGUACAACGAGUUGCGAGUCGGUGACGGCGAGCUAAUCUCUUAAAGCCAAUCUCAGUUCGGAUUGUAGGCUGCAACUCGCCUACAUGAAGUCGGAAUCGCUAGUAAUCGCGGAUCAGCACGCCGCGGUGAAUACGUUCCCGGGCCUU
rnacentral:rRNA from 1 species